rnacentral:tRNA from 1 species
GGGCGGUUAGCUCAGUUGGGAGAGCACCUGCCUUACAAGCAGGGGGUCACUGGUUCGAGUCCAGUAUCGCCCACCA